AAUUCGACGCAACGCGAAGAACCUUACCAGGGCUUGACAUCCCCUGACCGCGUAUGAAAGUACGUUUUCACCCUCGGGUGACAGGGAGACAGGUGGUGCAUGGUUGUCGUCAGCUCGUGUCGUGAGAUGUUGGGUUAAGUCCCGCAACGAGCGCAACCCCUAUCUCUAGUUGCCAGCGAUUCGGUCGGGGACUCUAGAGAUACUGCCCCGGUUAACGGGGAGGAAGGUGGGGAUGACGUCAAGUCCUCAUGGCCCUUAUGCCCAGGGCUACACACGUGCUACAAUGGGCGGUACAAAGGGUAGCGAUGCCGCGAGGCGAAGCCAAUCCCAAAAAGCCGUCCUCAGUUCGGAUUGGAGUCUGCAACUCGACUCCAUGAAGCCGGAAUCGCUAGUAAUCGCGGAUCAGCAUGCCGCGGUGAAUACGUUCUCGGGGUUU
rnacentral:rRNA from 1 species